rnacentral:rRNA from 1 species
AAUAGAUACCCGGGUAGUCCACGCCGUAAACGAUGGAUACUAGCUGUUGGGCGCAAGUUCAGUGGCUAAGCGAAAGUGAUAAGUAUCCCACCUGGGGAGUACGUUCGCAAGAAUGAAACUCAAAGAAAUUGACGGGGGCCCGCACAAGCGGUGGAGCAUGUGGUUUAAUUCGAUGAUACGCGAGGAACCUUACCAAGGCUUAAAUGUAGAUUGACCGGUUUGGAAACAGAUCUUUCGCAAGACAAUUUACAAGGUGCUGCAUGGUUGUCGUCAGCUCGUGCCGUGAGGUGUCAGGUUAAGUCCUAUAACGAGCGCAACCCCUGUUGUUAGUUGCCAGCGAGUCAAGUCGGGAACUCUAACAAGACUGCCAGUGCAAACUGUGAGGAAGGUGGGGAUGACGUCAAAUCAUCACGGCCCUUACGCCUUGGGCUACACACGUGCUACAAUGGCCGGUACAGAGAGCAGCCACUGGGUGACCAGGAGCGAAUCUAUAAAACCGGUCACAGUUCGGAUCGGAGUCUGCAACUCGACUCC